GACGAACGCUGGCGGCGUGCUUAACACAUGCAAGUCGAACGGAAAGGCCCUGCUUUUGUGGGGUGCUCGAGUGGCGAACGGGUGAGUAGCACGUGAGUAACCUGCCCUUGACUUUGGGAUAACUUCAGGAAACUGGGGCUAAUACCGGAUAGGAGCUCCUGCUGCAUGGUGGGGGUUGGAAAGUUUCGGCGGUUGGGGAUGGACUCGCGGCUUAUCAGCUUGUUGGUGGGGUAGUGGCUUACCAAGGCUUUGACGGGUAGCCGGCCUGAGAGGGUGACCGGCCACAUUGGGACUGAGGUACGGCCCAGACUCCUACGGGAGGCAGCAGUGGGGAAUAUUGCACAAUGGGCGGAAGCCUGAUGCAGCAACGCCGCGUGCGGGAUGACGGCCUUCGGGUUGUAAACCGCUUUCGCCUGUGACGAAGCGUGAGUGACGGUAAUGGGUAAAGAAGCACCGGCUAACUACGUG
rnacentral:rRNA from 1 species